rnacentral:rRNA from 1 species
GACAGAGGGUGCAAACGUUGUUCGGAAUUACUGGGCGUAAAGCGCGUGUAGGCGGCUAUGUAAGUCGGGCGUGAAAUCCCACGGCUCAACCGUGGAAGUGCACCCGAAACUGCGUAGCUAGAGUCCUGGAGAGGAAGGUGGAAUGCUUGGUGUAGAGGUGGAAUUCGUAGAUAUCAAGCGGAACACCGGUGGCGAAGGCGGCCUUCUGGACAGUGACUGACGCUGAGACGCGAAAGCGUGGGGAGCAAACAGG